UUACUUACUAGGUAGUUAGGAAAUAUUGAAGUACCAAUAUGAAUUUAUUAUUUUCAAGCUGCUUUUUAUGUUCUUAAAAAUGUUUUAAUAUUUGUAACUAGAAAUACUUUGUCUUAACUCGCUUCGUCCUAAACUGUACUGGAAACUAUUUUCAUAUUUUGCCCUUUUGUUACCUAUCCCCUUCCCUUGUGCAGGUAUAAAAUAUGCAAUGCAAGUGUCAGAAUGACAAUGAAUGGCCGUUUCCGAAUUCCCGAAAAUUAUAGGUAUAUGGUAUAAACUCAAUCAAAAUGGUAUAUUCAUUUCAAUUGAAAACGAAACGAAAAUUUCUCAUUUUUCUUCAAUAGAAUUAAGUUUUAAACUUUUUUACCAUACAAUUAAAACGGUUUAAAAAAAAUUAAUUAGAUAGUUCAGUAGUACCUACCAAAAUACCUAAAUUUUAUUAAUUAUUCUUAACGCGAAGUUGAUAAUCUAUAGUCUAACAUUAUUCUUCUUCCUAUAGGUACAUACAGUAUAUUCUUUUUAAGAUAUUUUAAAAGUAUAUACAAGUAUGUGUUAAGCAUAUACUUUUGCAUAUACUUACGCAUAUACUAAGCAUAUUCGAUUAGGGUAUAUUCUAAGAAUAAACUUUUACGAACAUUCCGAGAUACUAUAUACGUACACGAAUGUGCUCAGUAUAUUCGGUGCAAGAAUAUUCUUUGAAGCACGUGCAAAGAACAUGAAAUUUAGAAUGUUUUUUAUGGUACAUGCUAUGCUUGUACUACGCAUAUACUAAAAAGGAUAUACUUCGACGAAUGUUGGUAGGAUAUGCUUAGAACAUGAUGCGAACAUCAUUGUUAUGUGGGAGCAGAAGCAAUGUAGAUAAAAAAUCUGCAGGAAUAACGUUUCAAAGCUUUCCAGAAGAUCCUGCGAAGAAGGCAUGAAGUAUUGAUCAGAUUUGUUAAUAGAGCAGUAUGUUCAAAACAUUUUUAGGAAAAGAUAUUGACAGAACUUCACUUUCAACUGUUCGUUUGAGAGACUGUGCUGUUCCAAUAGCUUAUAUCACGCAGAAUCAGCGGAGAGAAGUGGUCUACAAAAAACCAGGAAGGAAAUGGAAUAUGUGGCUAUGAAAGGCAAAAGAAAGGUUUACAAAGCAAAUGUGACACAUUUUUUUAUAGGAAUAUCAGUAAAUUACAUAAAAAAAAAUGUAUGAAAAGAUUUUUUGCAAUAAAAAUGUUUAUAUU